UACCCGCUGAACUUAAGCAUAUCAAUAAGCCGGAGG
rnacentral:rRNA from 1 species